UCAAACGCCUACAGAGGCUGCGUGGACACCAAGAAGCAAAGGUUCUCCAGUCUUCUGCUAGAGCUCCUCGUUGGCUCAGCCCAAGAGGAAUCCAGAGCAAGGGAACCCACUGAUCCUUUCCUUCGCAGUCUUGGCGUAAUCUAAUUCGGCAGACACUUGGGUUACUCAACAGCCAUCCUGCUUUGAUAAAAGAACCCUGAUUUUGUUCACCUUCCUUCAUUUGUCCAGCCCCAGCUUUGGGACUUCCCUGGUGGCGCAGUGGUUAAGAAUCCGCCUGCCAAUGCAGAGGACACAGGUUCGAUCCCUGGCCCAGGAAGAUCCUGCAUGCCGUGAGGCAACUAAGCUCGUGCGCCACAACUACCGAGCCUGCGCUCUAGAGCCCACGAGCCACGACUACUGAAGCCCGCACACCUGGAGCCCAUGCUCGGCAACAAGAGAAGCCA